ensembl:lncRNA
GACUCGUCCUCCCCGCGGAUGUUGCUUGCUCUCGCUCAGCUGGACUUCGCCCUGAAGAAGUUCAGACGACACGCCGUGGAUCCGAGCCUCCAUCUCCUGGUCACCCCGAGUUGGAAGGAGCCGCUCCUCAGUGCGUUGAGGAUGUUGGGCAGUCCAGGCUUCUGCUUCAGAGCCUCCCCAGUCAUUUCUUUGUGUGACACAGAGCGAGAAGCUGGCGGACACCAUCUCGACCUCAGAGAGUUCUUCAGCUAAUGUGUGGCCAGAAUGACUUUCUGGACGACUUUGACUGGAGAGACGUUACCGAUCCUGAGGCACAAGUCUGAAUGAAACAGCUUCAGAGUCCUACCAGUUUAGGGCUGUUAUCUGACAGCUCUUGUGACCGGUACAGAAGCUCUGAACUACCAGAGAACGACUCUACUGACCAUUCCUCCAUUUACGCCAGCCUGGUCAAACACUAC